GGUUGCUCAGUGGUUAAGCAUUUGGCUACUAACCAAAAGGUCUGUAGUUCGAAUCCACCAGCUA
rnacentral:tRNA from 1 species